GAUGAACGCUAGCGGCAGGCUUAAUACAUGCAAGUCGAGGGGUAACAUGGUAGCAAUACUGAUGACGACCGGCAAACGGGUGCGGAACACGUACAGAACCUUCCUUUAAGUGGGGGAUAGCCCGGACGAAAUCCGGAUUAAUACCCCGUAACCAUUAUUGAUUGGCAUCAAUUAGUAAUUAUAGAUUUAUCGCUUAGAGAUGGCUGUGCGGCUGAUUAGGUAGUUGGUGAGGGAACGGCCCGACCAAC
rnacentral:rRNA from 1 species